rnacentral:rRNA from 1 species
GACGAACGCUGGCGGCGUGCUUAACACAUGCAAGUCGAACGGUGAAGCGCCUUCCUUUUUGGCGGGAGUGGAAGAGUAGUUCACGCGUGAGUAACACGUGAGACACCUGCACCCUCUUUCCCGAUAACCGCAUGAACGCGUGGCUAAUACGGGUAAUUCUGCGUCUGUCGCAUGACUGGCCUGGGAAAGAUAUUGAUUCGGCGGUGCAUUGGCUCGCGGCUUCUCAGCUGGUUGGCGGGGUGGUGGCCUACCAAGGCGGUGACGGGUCGCCGGCGUGAGAGUGUGGACGGUCACACUGGGACUGAGACGCGGCCCAGACGCCUAGGGACGGCAGCAGUGGGGAAGAUUGCACGAUGGGGGGAAGACUGAUGCAGCGGCGCCGCGGGAGGGAUGGAGGCCUUCGGGUUGUGAAACGCUUUCGCCAGUGAAGCAGGCCUGCCUCGUGUGUGGAUGGGUUGACGGUAGCUGGAUAAGAAGCGCCGGCUAACUACGUG